rnacentral:rRNA from 1 species
AUUGAACGCUGGCGGCAGGCCUAACACAUGCAAGUCGAGCGAGCGGCGGACGGGUGAGUAAUGUAUGGGGACUGCCCGAUAGAGGGGGAUAACUACUGGAAACGGUGGCUAAUACCGCAUACUAUCGGAUAACCCAUAUGGGAUUAGCUAGUAGGUGGGGUAAAGGCUCACCUAGGCGACGAUCUCUAGCUGGUCUGAGAGGAUGAUCAGCGACAGUGGGACUGAGACACGGCCUAGAGCCCAGCGGAGGCAGCAGGGGGGAAUAUGGCACAAUGGGCGCAGGCCGGAUGCAGCCAUGCGGCGUGUAUGAAGGAGGCCUUAGGGUUGUAAAGUGCUUUCAUCGGGGAGGCGUUACCCGCAGAAGAAGCACCGGCUAACUACGUGCCAGCAGCCGCGGUAAUUC